UACGGAGGGUGCAAGCGUUGUCCGGAUUUAUUGGGUUUAAAGGGUGCGUAGGCGGCUAAUUAAGUCAGCGGUGAAAUUCCACAGCUCAACUGUGGAACUGCCAUUGAUACUGGUUGGCUUGAGUACAGAUGAGGUAGGCGGAAUUGACAGUGUAGCGGUGAAAUGCUUAGAUAUGACAUAGAACACCAAUUGCGAAGGCAGCUGGCUACACGAAUAUUGACACUGAUGCACGAAAGCGUGGGGAUCAAACAGG
rnacentral:rRNA from 1 species